rnacentral:rRNA from 2 species
UGGACGCCAGUCUGCGUGGAGCCAACCUUGAAAUACCACCCUUUAAUGUUUGAUGUUCUAACGUGGACCCGUAAUCCGGGUUGCGGACAGUGUCUGGUGGGUAGUUUGACUGGGGCGGUCUCCUCCCAAAGCGUAACGGAGGAGCACGAAGGUUAGCUAAUCCUGGUCGGACAUCAGGAGGUUAGUGCAAAGGCAUAAGCUAGCUUGACUGCGAGAGUGACAGCUCGAGCAGGUGCGAAAGCAGGUCUUAGUGAUCCGGUGGUUCUGAAUGGAAGGGCCAUCGCUCAACGGAUAAAAGGUACUCCGGGGAUAACAGGCUGAUACCGCCCAAGAGUUCAUAUCGACGGCGGUGUUUGGCACCUCGAUGUCGGCUCAUCACAUCCUGGGGCUGAAGUAGGUCCCAAGGGUAUGGCUGUUCGCCAUUUAAAGUGGUACGCGAGCUGGGUUUAGAACGUCGUGAGACAGUUCGGUCCCUAUCUGCCGUGGGCGUUGGAAGAUUGAGAGGGGUUGCUCCUAGUACGAGAGGACCGGAGUGAACGCACCACUGGUGUACGGGUUGUGAUGCCAAUUGCAUUGCCCGGUAGCUAAGUGCGGAAGAGAUAACCGCUGAAAGCAUCUAAGCGGGAAACUUGCCUCGAGAUGAGUCUUCCCUGGGCACUAGAUGCCCCUGAAGGGCCGUUGAAGACGACGACGUAGAUAGGCUGGGUGUGUAAGCGUAGCGAUACGUUGAGCUAACCAGUACUAAUGACCCGAGAGGCUUAACCUUACAACACCGAAGGUGUUU